UGUGGUUGUUUUCUUGGGCGAGAAGGUCACCCCCGUUCCCAUCCCGAACACGGUAGUUAAGCUUCUCUGCGCCAAUGGUAGUUGGGGGCUUCCCCCUGCGAGAGUAGGUCGCUGCCGGGC
rnacentral:rRNA from 1 species